rnacentral:rRNA from 1 species
GAUGAACGCUGGCGGCGUGCCUCAAACAUGCAAGUCGAGCGGGGCUAUGUAAUAUCGCAAGGUAGAACAUAGCCUAGCGGCGAACGGGUGAGUAACACGUGGGUAACCUGCCUGGAAGACAGGGAUAACGAUUCGAAAGGGUCGCUAAUACCUGAUAAUAUCCUUUCAUCGCAUGGUGAUAGGAAGAAGGGGGAAACCCGCUUUCAGAUGGGCCCGCGUCCCAUCAGCUAGUUGGUAAGGUAAAGGCUUACCAAGGCGACGACGGGUAGCCGGUCUGAGAGGAUGUACGGCCACACUGGGACUGAGAUACGGCCCAGACUCCUACGGGAGGCAGCAGUUGGGAAUCUUAGGCAAUGGACGAAAGUCUGACCUAGCGACGCCGCGUGAGGGAAGAAGGCCUUCGGGUUGUAAACCUCUGUCAUGGGGGAAGAAGUAAGUGACGGUACCCCAAGAGGAAGCCCCUGCUAACUACGUG